rnacentral:lncRNA from 1 species
CUUCUAUCGUAAGUGUCCAAAAUCUGCAGAUUUUUAUUGGUCUAUUUUGUCUAUCACUCAGGCCAGGACCAUUAAGUGCCUGGCAGGCAGCCUGUAAGAAGAGGUGACGGUGUGGCGAGGUUCAGAGAAAGCAGACAGUAACAUUUGUUUCUCUGCUGGGAAGCUGAAAGGAACAAGAACAAGAACAACGACAAGAAUAGCAGCAGCAGCAGCAGCAGCAGCAGCAGCAGCAGCAGCAGUUGCCAAAUAAACUGAACAAUCUGAGGGGCUCGAGAAAGUUCAGUGGUUAAGAGAUCUUACUGGUCUUCCAGAGAACUUGAGUUCAUUUUCCAGAUCCCGCACUGGAUAGCUCAUACCUGCUUGCAAUUCAAGCUAGCUCGGGGAUCCCAAACCCUCUUCAGGCACCACACAAAUAGAGAUACAAAUAAAUAAAAAUGUAAGACCCCCCCCCUGAAAGAAUCAAAUGAAUGUAAUUGAUUAAAGAAGCAGAACUCGGCCUCCUGCCUGUGGACAGCCUUCCUGGGUGAUGUCAUUUGGUAGUGAUGAUGGUUUGUCAGUAUGACAUGCUGCUGCCCAGAACCGCACGCAGUCGCUUCUCUCAUCUGAGAACAUUUUCCCCUUCUCUGAAUUGUGCAAGCUCAGACUGGGAGUGACAGAAGCCAGCCCCGUAGCUCUGCCGACCUACUUCCUGGCUGGCUCUGCAGCCAGCAGCCGGCGCAGCAUUUAUUUAACCAGCUUUUCAAGGUCAGGACUUUCCAAUGUGGAGGCUUACUUUUGCUUGACACAAAGCCAGGUCCAGAGAAAGAGAAGUUCAGAAAAGGAGUUGGGGAAGGAGACAGAAAGUGUACGGUUUCUACAUGUUGGCACUUUGAGCUGGAAUCCACUGAGUGGCUCUCCUGGUCCGGACAUCAGGCUUCAAGUGGCCUGGUCGGGAAUGUAAGUCAC